rnacentral:tRNA from 1 species
AGGGGUAUAGCUCAGAGGUAGAGUGUGUGCUUGGCAUGUUUGAGGUCCUGGGUUCAAUCCCCAGUGCUUCCA